rnacentral:rRNA from 1 species
UGAGGAAUAUUGGACAAUGGAUGGAAAUCUGAUCCAGCCAUGCCGCGUGCAGGAAGACGGUCCUAUGGAUUGUAAACUGCUUUAGCAUGGGAGCAAUAAGGUGUACGCGUACACCGAUGAGAGUACCAUGAGAAUAAGCACCGGCUAACUCCGUGCCAGCAGCCGCGGUAAUACGGAGGAUGCGAGCGUUAUCCGGAUUUAUUGGGUUUAAAGGGUGCGUAGGCGGUUUGUCAAGUCAGCGGUCAAACUGCGGGGCUUAACCUCGUAUUGCCGUCGAAACUGGCUGACUAGCGUGGCGUCGAGGUGUGCGGAAUGCGCUGUGUAGCGGUGAAAUGCAUAGAUAUGACGCAGAACUCCGAUUGCGAAGGCAGCACACCGGGCGCCUACGGACGCUGAGGCACGAAAGCGUGGGUAUCGAACAGGAUUAGAUACCCUGGUAGU